GACGAACGCUGGCGGCGUGCUUAACACAUGCAAGUCGAACGGUGAAGCUCCAGCUUGCUGGAGUGGAUCAGUGGCGAACGGGUGAGUAACACGUGAGCAACCUGCCCCUGACUCUGGAAUAAGCGCUGGAAACGGCGUCUAAUACUGGAUACGAGAAGGGUCCGCAUGGGCACUUUCUGGAAAGUUUUUCGGUUGGGGAUGGGCUCGCGGCCUAUCAGCUUGUUGGUGAGGUAAUGGCUCACCAAGGCGACGACGGGUAGCCGGCCUGAGAGGGCGACCGGCCAAACUGGGACUGAGACACGGCCCAGACUCCUACGGGAGGCAGCAGUGGGGAAUAUUGCACAAUGGGCGAAAGCCUGAUGAAGCGACGCCGCGUGAGGGAUGACGGCCUUCGGGUUGUAAACCGCUUUCAGCAGGGAAGAAGCGAAAGUGACGGUACCUGCAGAAGAAGCACCGGCUAACUACGUG
rnacentral:rRNA from 1 species